AUUUUAUCUCUUCAUCAAUUUCUUGAAGAAGAUAAUUGGCUCUGGAAUUUAGCAACUGAGCCAAAGCUCCUUGAAGUUCUCCGCCUUCAUCUUGGCGGAGAUUUGGUACUUUACUCUACACAGCUAUCCUAUAAACCUCCUCACGGGGGCCGAGUUGUUCCGUGGCAUCAAGACGGCGAACACUGCAGGACUGUAUGGAUUCCUCUUGAUGAUGUUAAUUUAGAAAAUGG